rnacentral:rRNA from 1 species
CGUAGGUGGCAAGCGUUGUCCGGAAUUAUUGGGCGUAAAGCGCGCGCAGGCGGCCUCUUAAGUCUGAUGUGAAAGCCCCCGGCUCAACCGGGGAGGGCCAUUGGAAACUGGGAGGCUUGAGUAUAGGAGAGAAGAGUGGAAUUCCACGUGUAGCGGUGAAAUGCGUAGAGAUGUGGAGGAACACCAGUGGCGAAGGCGACUCUUUGGCCUAUAACUGACGCUGAGGCGCGAAAGCGUGGGAGCAAACAGGAUU